rfam:Balearica pavonina gibbericeps contig15622, whole genome shotgun sequence.
AAAGUGGCAUUUCUAAAUGCCACACAUCUUUUCAGCAAUGGAAAAU